CUAGCCUCUUCCAUCACUUCUCUCUAUCUGUUUCGCUUCAUUUUUUUCUGUAUCAUAACAAUUAGAUGCUUGUGAAUCAUAACUUUAGUAUUAGGUUUUGUGUCCUCUUCUUCAACAUCGGCUCUUGAAGAUUUGUUCUGAAUCGGUGAGAAAGAGGUGAUGAUGAUAAUCAACAACAACUGAAAACCAAGAUUAAUCUACAAAAAAAUGAAUCAAAAGGCACUAAAGAAGUAGAAAGCUCCACCACCAUCAUCAAAGCCAGCUAAAUCUAAUAGUGAAGUGGUGCAAAGAAAAGCAAAAAGAGAAGGUUAACAACAUUCUGGUGUUUGAUAAACCUGGGAUUUAAUUUGUGAUUUUGUGUUUUUAAUGACUUGGGAACUCAUGGAACAAAAGUUAUUAUCUACGAUCUUUGGUUCACCGACGAUGGGGAAAUGGAUCUCAAUUUUGAAUCAGAUGUAAAGGAUAUCCAACUAGCUGGAGCCCCAGAAAUGUCCAAGAAAACUACUUUACAAGCUCUAUGCCAACAACAUCUGGCCAACAAGCUUCACUAUUCUCUUCGUGAGUACUUAUCCAUCUUACACCUGAGGUUACCCGAGCAUUUCAGAAUAAUAUUGCUUGGAAAUUUCCUUGUCCUUCCGGUCCCUAUUGAGCUUGUCAAUCCAUGACUUCUUUCU